GACGAACGCUGGCGGCGUGCUUAACACAUGCAAGUCGAACGGAAAGGCCCCGCUUUUGUGGGGUGCUCGAGUGGCGAACGGGUGAGUAACACGUGAGUAACCUGCCCUUGACUUUGGGAUAACUUCAGGAAACUGGGGCUAAUACCGGAUAGGAGCUCCUGCUGCAUGGUGGGGGUUGGAAAGUUUCGGCGGUUGGGGAUGGACUCGCGGCUUAUCAGCUUGUUGGUGGGGUAGUGGCUUACCAAGGCUUUGACGGGUAGCCGGCCUGAGAGGGUGACCGGCCACAUUGGGACUGAGAUACGGCCCAGACUCCUACGGGAGGCAGCAGUGGGGAAUAUUGUACAAUGGGCGGAAGCCUGAUGCAGCAACGCCGCGUGCGGGAUGACGGCCUUCGGGUUGUAAACCGCUUUCGCCUGUGACGAAGCGUGAGUGACGGUAAUGGGUAAAGAAGCACCGGCUAACUACGUG
rnacentral:rRNA from 1 species